rnacentral:tRNA from 30 species
GGUCCCUUAGCUCAACUGGAUAGAGCAACAGACUUCUAAUCUGUAGGUUGCAGGUUCGAGUCCUGCAGGGAUCGCCA